GAUGAACGCUGACAGAAUGCUUAACACAUGCAAGUCUUUGGCGAAGCUGUGCUUGCACAGCCUAGCCAAGGCGGACGGGUGAGUAACGCGUAAGGAACUUGCCCUGCAGUCAGGGAUAACAGACGGAAACGACUGAUAAGACCUGGUAAAGUCAGGCGGACUCAUGUCCAGCCUGAUGAAAAGAGAUGCUGCAGGAGAGCCUUGCGUCCUAUUAGCUUGUUGGUGGGGUAACGGCCCACCAAGGCGAUGAUAGGUAGCCGGCCUGAGAGGGUGGACGGCCACAAGGGGACUGAGAGACGGCCCUGACUCCUACGGGAGGCAGCAGUGGGGAAUAUUGGACAAUGGGGGCAACCCUGAUCCAGCAAUUCUGUGUGCACGAUGAAGGUUUUCGGAUUGUAAAGGGCUUUCAGCAGGGAAGAAAAAAAUGACGGUACCUGCAGAAGAAGCGACGGCUAAAUACGUG
rnacentral:rRNA from 1 species